rnacentral:rRNA from 1 species
AGCGUCUGGAAAGGCGCGCGAUACAGGGUGACAGCCCCGUACACAAAAAUGCACAUACUGUGAGCUCGAUGAGUAGGGCGGGACACGUGGUAUCCUGUCUGAAUAUGGGGGGACCAUCCUCCAAGGCUAAAUACUCCUGACUGACCGAUAGUGAACCAGUACCGUGAGGGAAAGGCGAAAAGAACCCCGGCGAGGGGAGUGAAAAAGAACCUGAAACCGUGUACGUACAAGCAGUGGGAGCCUCUUAAUGGGGUGACUGCGUACCUUUUGUAUAAUGGGUCAGCGACUUAUAUUCUGUAGCAAGGUUAACCGAAUAGGGGAGCCGAAGGGAAACCGAGUCUUAACUGGGCGUUAAGUUGCAGGGUAUAGACCCGAAACCCGGUGAUCUAGCCAUGGGCAGGUUGAAGGUUGGGUAACACUAACUGGAGGACCGAACCGACUAAUGUUGAAAAAUUAGCGGAUGACUUGUGGCUGGGGGUGAAAGGCCAAUCAAACCGGGAGAUAGCUGGUUCUCCCCGAAAGCUAUUUAGGUAGCGCCUCGUGAAUUCAUCUCCGGGGGUAGAGCACUGUUUCGGCAAGGGGGUCAUCCCGACUUACCAACCCGAUGCAAACUGCGAAUACCGGAGAAUGUUAUCACGGGAGACACACGGCGGGUGCUAACGUCCGUCGUGAAGAGGGAAACAACCCAGACCGCCAGCUAAGGUCCCAAAGUCAUGGUUAAGUGGGAAACGAUGUGGGAA